GCCAGUUUCGUCAGUUUUCAUAUUGUGCGGACGUUGGUUGUUGUGAAAAUUACUUAUUACGAAAUGCCUAAACUCAGCAUUGAAGAUGUCAAUUUUCAAUUACCCUCGAGAGUAAGGAAGUUCAAAGGAUCAAUAACAUGAGGAUCGAGAAGAGGAGCGUAAAUAAACGAAUAUUCAGACCGAAAUAUAAUAUUUACGUCGAUUCAGAGGCUUUAAAGGCUCAAGCAGACGCGAGAAAAAAGGCGGAAAUUUUGGAUAAGCAACAAGACGAAGCAAUUCAGCAGCAUGAGAAUUACACUUACCAACUGGCUGUUCGACUCGCUGAACAGGCGGAGAGGGUAAUAUUUUCAAAAUUAUAUCUUUAGUUAAAGUCCAAUUGUUUCACAAUUCCUUAUCGUUACUUUUCUCCAAGAUUGAUGCAAAAAUAUGAGUGGAAUCACUGUUCAAUCCCCCCCGACACUCGAUAUUAUUAUUGUUCUGCGAAAUAUAAUUGCCAACUUGAGUUCCACUUUUGACUUUAAAUAUUGUAGGGGGUUGCACCCCCCGCGUUAAGCGCCUCUACCAAUCGUGAUCUGUUUGUCUACUGGUUACCAAUCAGACAUUGAUUGUUUACUGGUUGUAGGACAUAGCUCUAAAUAAACCUCUUCCAGCAACUAUUAUUUCGAUAACAGUGAGGAAGUGAGCUGAAUUUAUGUUGAACUGAAACGAUGGAAAUAAAAGUCUGGUAAAAAUUGAUAAGAUGAAUACGCUCAGUUUCUCUGCGUAAGGAGACGAAAGGAGAGGAAGUCAGGAAAAAGACCUCACUAAAUCCCCCAAGGAAAAGAAAAGGGUUUAAAAGUGUUUUAAACGAAAUCUUCACCUACCCGGCCCACUGGUAGGACUUGCCGAAUUAGGAGGGCCCUGGAACUAUAUUCCCGUUUGAUGAAUUAAAAAAACUAUUGGGGUAAAACAGGAGGAAGAGAAAGGAGGAUAAUAAAUAAGGGAGUGGGAUUAGAUGACCGAGAGACCGAGAAACUAAUGAAGGAAUCGUUGUGGAAGUAAAAUGUGUAAAGAUGAACGAGGUGUUGAGUACCGAUGUGAUAUUUGUAUUGUAAAUUAAGUGGGAUACCUAGUCAAAGUAAUUAAUUUGACUUAUUAGAAACUUUCUUGGACGUUCACUCCAACUUUCUUGAUUUACUUUAAAAUGUAUUAUUAACCAUUUGAACAUAAUUAUGAGAUAGAGCUUUACCAUCUUUAAGCCAACCAGUACAUUGAGUUAUAUGAAUGAAACGAAAUUAAUUUGUACAAAUAUGCGCUAAGUGGUGUUAUAAUUUCACUUUCAACCAAAUCAGAGAAAACUCAAAUCUCUGCAGAAGAAAACUACCUUCUGAUAAAAUCUUCCCGUCAUUGACGCCUUAAUUACAUAUUGACUUUUAACUAUAAGGGCGCGAUAUAGAUCAUGAGAAUUUACGCAAAAGAAAAGUGUUACGUGGAAAAGGCACAAGAAACUAAGUAGCUUUUAUUGCAAGGAAAGAAACGAUUGGAGUUAGAAAAAUCAAUUGUGACAAGCGUACAAUUCUUUUUACUUGUUCGUAGAACAUCUUUCGUAAAUAAGAGCCAAGAAAAGAGAUAUUGGAAUAACGCGACGAAUUUACUUCGAUGGCUGAGAAAAGAUGUCUCAGAUUUGAUUGGUGUGAUGGUUUCAUUCGUGUUUCAAGAUUUCUCUUCUUUCCAUCCAUAGCGUUUUUUUAAUUAUUUAAUGU
rnacentral:lncRNA from 1 species